GCUCGAGUGGCGAACGGGUGAGUAACACGUGAGUAACCUGCCCUUGACUUUGGGAUAACUUCAGGAAACUGGGGCUGAUACCGGAUAGGAGCUCCUGCUGCAUGGUGGGGGUUGGAAAGUUUCGGCGGUUGGGGAUGGACUCGCGGCUUAUCAGCUUGUUGGUGGGGUAGUGGCUUACCAAGGCUUUGACGGGUAGCCGGCCUGAGAGGGUGACCGGCCACAUUGGGACUGAGAUACGGCCCAG
rnacentral:rRNA from 1 species